rnacentral:rRNA from 1 species
AUUGAACGCUGGCGGCAUGCCUUACACAUGCAAGUCGAACGGCAGCACGGACUUCGGUCUGGUGGCGAGUGGCGAACGGGUGAGUAAUGUAUCGGAACGUACCUUUCAGUGGGGAGUAACGUAGCGAAAGUUACGCUAAUACCGCAUAUUCUGUGAGCAGGAAAGCAGGGGAGUCGCAAGACCUUGCGCUGAUUGAGCGGCCGAUAUCAGAUUAGCUAGUUGGUGAGGUAAAGGCUCACCAAGGCGACGAUCUGUAGCGGGUCUGAGAGGAUGAUCCGCCACACUGGAACUGAGACACGGUCCAGACUCCUACGGGAGGCAGCAGUGGGGAAGUUUUGGACAAUGGGGGCGAACCCUGAUCCAGCCAUGCCGCGUGAGUGAAGAAGGCCUCGGUGUAAGCUCUUCGUCGGGAACGAAAUACGCAUGGGCUAAGU